CCUACGGGGGGCAGCAGUGAGGAAUAUUGGUCAAUGGACGAGAGUCUGAACCAGCCAAGUAGCGUGAAGGAUGACUGCCCUAUGGGUUGUAAACUUCUUUUAUAAAGGAAUAAAACAAGGCACGUGUGCCUUUUUGCAUGUACUUUAUGAAUAAGGAUCGGCUAACUCCGUGCCAGCAGCCGCGGUAAUACGGAGGAUCCGAGCGUUAUCCGGAUUUAUUGGGUUUUAAGGGAGCGUAGAUGGGUUGUUAAGUCAGUUGUGAAAGUUUGCGGCUCAACCGUAAAAUUGCAAUUGAUACUGGCAGUCGUGAGUACAGUUGAGGUAGGCGGAAUUCGUGGUGUAGCGGUGAAAUGCUUAGAUAUCACGAAGAACCCCGAUUGCGAAGGCAGCUUACUAAACUGUGACUGACAUUGAUGCUCGAAAGUGUGGGUAUCAAACAGGAUUAGAUACCCGGUAGUC
rnacentral:rRNA from 1 species